AGAGUUUGAUCCUGGCUCAGGAUGAACGCUAGCUACAGGCUUAACACAUGCAAGUCGAGGGGCAGCAUGCUGAUAGCUUGCUAUCAGUGAUGGCGACCGGCGCACGGGUGAGUAACGCGUAUCCAACCUGCCUGUCACUCGGGAAUAGCCCGGUGAAAACCGGAUUAAGUCCCGAUGAUGUCAUUAGAGGGCAUCUGACGAUGACUAAAGGAGACGGUGACGGAUGGGGAUGCGUCUGAUUAGCUUGUUGGCGGGGUAACGGCCCACCAAGGCGACGAUCAGUAGGGGUUCUGAGAGGAAGGUCCCCCACAUUGGAACUGAGACACGGUCCAAACUCCUACGGGAGGCAGCAGUGAGGAAUAUUGGUCAAUGGACGCAAGUCUGAACCAGCCAAGUAGCGUGCAGGAUGACGGCCCUAUGGGUUGUAAACUGCUUUUAUAAGGGAAUAAAGUGAGUCUCGUGAGACUUUUUGCAUGUACCUUAUGAAUAAGGACCGGCUAAUUCCGUGCCAGCAGCCGCGGUAAUACGGAAGGUCCGGGCGUUAUCCGGAUUUAUUGGGUUUAAAGGGAGCGUAGGCCGGAGGGUAAGCGUGUUGUGAAAUGCAGUUGCUCAACAUCUGCACUGCAGCGCGAACUGUUCUCCUUGAGUGCGCAGGAAGUAGGCGGAAUUCGUCGUGUAGCGGUGAAAUGCUUAGAUAUGACGAAGAACUCCGAUUGGGAAGCCAGCUUACUGUAGCGCCACUGACGCUGAUGCUCGAAAGUGCGGGUAUCGAACAGGAUUAGAUACCCUGGUAGUCCGCACGGUAAACGAUGGAUGCUCGCUGUGUGCAUUCGUGUACGCGGCCAAGGGAAACCAUUAAGCAUCCCACCUGGGGAGUACGCCGGCAACGGUGAAACUCAAAGGAAUUGACGGGGGCCCGCACAAGCGGAGGAACAUGUGGUUUAA
rnacentral:rRNA from 1 species